rnacentral:rRNA from 1 species
GACGAACGCUGGCGGCGUGCUUAACACAUGCAAGUCGAACGAUGAAGAAAAGAAUUGAAGCUUCGGCAGACAUUCAUUUCGGAUUAGUGGCAGACGGGUGAGUAACUCGUGAGCAACCUACCUCUUACAAAGGGAUAGCCUCGGGAAACCGGGAUUAAUACCAUAUAACAUUGCGACGAAGCAUUUCGAUGCAAUCAAGGCUACGGCGGUAAGAGAUGGGCUCGCGUCCCAUUAACCAGAUGGUGAGGUAACGGCUCACCAUAGUAACGAUGGGUAACCGGGCUGAGAGGGUGAACGGUCACACUGGAAGUGAGACACGGUCCAGACUCCUACGGGAGGCAGCAGUGGGGAAUAUUGCACAAUGGAGGGAACUCUGAUGCAGCGACGCCGCGUGAGUGAUGAAGGAAGUCGUUUCGUAAAACUCUGUUCUAUGGGAAGAAAAGGACUGUACCAGAGGAGAAAGCUCCGGCUAAAUACGUG